rnacentral:lncRNA from 1 species
GUGGACAUCUACAUCAUGACGCAGCCACUGUCGGGCAAGUGGAUCCACUUUGGCACCGAGGUCACCAACAGCUCUGGCCGCCUCACCUUCCCGGUGCCCCUGGAGCGUGCGCUGGGCGUCGGCGUUUACCAGUGCGCAUGGUGGUCAGGGGCGACCACACCUACGCCGAAUGCUGCCUAACGGUGGUGGCCCGCGGCACUGAGGCCGUGGUCUUCAGCAUCGACGGCUCCUUCACCGCCAGUGUGUCCAUCAUGGGCAGCGACCCCAAGGUGCGCGCGCCGGCGCGUGGGCGUGGUCAGGUAGGAGCGGCUGCCCUUCUCUUCCCGCUCGCUGUGAGGACUGGUCCCCACCCUGGUGCGCUGGGCUGACCGCCGCCUCCCUGCAGACACUGGCAGGACGCGGCUACCUGAUCGUGUACGUGACGGGCCGUCCUGAUAUGCAGAAGCACCGCGUGGUGGCCUGGCUGUCGCAGCACAACUUCCCCACGGCGUCGUCUCCUUCUGCGAUGGUCUCACUCACGACCCACUCGUCAGAAGGCGAUGUUCCUGCAGAGCCUGGUGCAGGAGGUGUGGUGGUUGGGAGGCCCCGAACCCGUGAUUGCCCGAGAGGAGGCCCGCUUGUUCCCACCAGAUGGCCCUGGCUCCCAGCCUAACAGACCGCACAUCCCGCAAGGGUCUCUAGAGUCCUUGGGGCCAACUAGGGAGAUCCGGCUAGUCCCACCCCCAGCCAGACCUGGUGAUGGAGACUAAGCGGCUCCGCCCUAACCCUUCAGCACUGAACGCCCACCAAACCCCACCUCUGUCUCCGCCCGCUCCCUCUCCCCGUCCCUGGGCUCUGAUUGGCCUCUCCGGCCACAGGUGGAACUGAACCGUGGCCGCCUCGGGUCCCCAAAGACGUGGCCGUGUAUGCGGCGCUGGGCCUGCCCCAAGCCAGACCUACAUCGUGGGCCGUGCCGUGAGGAAGCUGCAGGCGCAGUGCCAGUUCCUGUCCGAUGGCUACGUGGCCCACCUGGGCCAGCUGGAGGCCGGCUCCACCCUCAUGCCACUUGGACCCUCAAGGGCCGCCCUGGCCAAGAGCAGCUAUGGUGGGCUGCCCUGUGGACUUCUUCGAAGCAGAGCCAGCUGCUCCGCUCGAGGGCCCCAGCCAGGCGGAGCGGAGGGCCCUGGGACGCCGCCCACCACCCUGGCCCAGGGGCAGGCGCGGAGCAUCAGCCUCAAGCUGGACAGCGAAGAGUGAGGCUCCAACUGUGGCUGGACUUGGGUUAUUUAUUCAUGCACUCAAGAGCCCCAGUGGAAGGCUGGGCCCUGGCCCCAUGGCUGGCCUGCAUCUGUUUGCCCUCAGGGAUAGUUCCUUCAUGUUGGGGACCCAGCCCUGGGGGCUGGAGGAGGGAGCAGCAAGGGUCCAGAGGCUUUUCCAGCGUGUAA